rnacentral:rRNA from 1 species
CAAGUCGAGCGAGGCGGGGAGCAAUCCCCAGUCGAGCGGCGAACGGGUGAGUAACGCGUGGAUGACCUGCCCUUUAGUGGGGAAUAACCCGGGGAAACUCGGGCUAAUACCGCAUACGACCAAGAGGUGAAAGAGGGGAGCAAUCCUCUUGCUGAAGGAGGGGUCCGCGUUCGAUUAGCUAGUUGGUAGGGUAAUGGCCUACCAAGGCGACGAUCGAUAGCCGGCCUGAGAGGGUGAUCGGCCACACUGGAACUGAGACACGGUCCAGACUCCUACGGGAGGCAGCAGUGGGGAAUUUUGCGCAAUGGGCUAACGCCUGACGCAGCAACGCCGCGUGGAGGAUGAAGGUCUUUGGAUUGUAAACUCCUGUCAGCAGGGAAAAAGCGAUAGGGCCUAAUACGUCCUAGAGUUGAUUGUACCUGCAGAGGAAGCCCCGGCUAACUCUGUGCCAGCAGCCGCGGUAAUACAGAGGGGGCAAGCGUUAUUCGGAAUUAUUGGGCGUAAAGGGCGCGUAGGCGGCUUUUCAAGUGACGGGUGAAAUCCCUCGGCUUAACCGAGGAACUGCCUGUCAGACUGGAAGGCUUGAGACCGGGAGAGGUGAGUGGAAUUCCCAGUGUAGCGGUGAAAUGCGUAGAUAUUGGGAGGAACACCAGUGGCGAAGGCGGCUCACUGGACCGGAACUGACGCUGAGGCGCGAAAGCGUGGGGAGCAAACAGGAUUAGAUACCCUGGCAGUCCACGCCGUAAACGAUGAGUGCUUGGUGUAGCGGGUAUCGACCCCUGCUGUGCCGAAGUCAACACAUUAAGCACUCCGCCUGGGGAGUACGGUCG